rnacentral:rRNA from 1 species
GACGAACGCUGGCGGCGUGCUUAACACAUGCAAGUCGAACGGUGAACCUCUUCGGAGGGGAUCAGUGGCGAACGGGUGAGUAACACGUGGGCAACCUGCUCCCGGCUCUGGGAUAACUCCAAGAAAUUGGGGCUAAUACCGGAUGUUCACCGCUUCCCGCAUGGGUGGUGGUGGAAAGGGUUUCCGGCUGGGGAUGGGCCCGCGGCCUAUCAGCUUGUUGGUGGGGUAGUGGCCUACCAAGGCGACGACGGGUAGCCGGCCUGAGAGGGUGACCGGCCACACUGGGACUGAGACACGGCCCAGACUCCUACGGGAGGCAGCAGUGGGGAAUAUUGCGCAAUGGGCGGAAGCCUGACGCAGCGACGCCGCGUGGGGGAUGACGGCCUUCGGGGUGUAAACCGCUUUCGGCAGGGACGAAGCGCAAGUGACGGUACCUGCAGAAGAAGCACCGGCUAACUACGUG